UUUUUAUAAAAAUAUACUCACAAAGACACACAGAGAGGAAAGAUUUUGAAUGAAUAAAAUACUAUUUCAUUUAUAGACUUGAUUGUAUUAAAAUCCUAUUUCCUUAUUUGAAUUUCUUAUCAAGGCAGAUGAAAUCACUAACAUAAAGAUUUUGUGCCCUCACCUCUGUGAUAAUUAGGAAAGAGCUGAUUAAGAUACAGAGGGUCUCCCACAUUACCUUUACACUGUACUUUAAUCUUUAUUCUAUACUUUAAUCUCAUCACUGUUAAAUAAGCCACACAACACUACUUGACUCUGGCCUGGAACCAGAAUUAAAACUAUAUUAUGGAGGGCAAUAUAAUUUGGGGAGGUCAAAGAGAUAAAAGGAAUUAUGGUCAAGAGCAAGUCAAUUGAAAGUCCCGAAAACGUUCCCUGAGUUAUAGGAUAUCUGGUUGUAGAAUAUUAAAGUGAAGAUGUGUUAUGAAAGAUAGCCUUGUAAGUGUGACUCUACCAUCUUAUUAAAGGUCCUCAAUUGGUUAAAGCAAGCCUCCUUAAUGCCUUCGGGCAUUAGGCUCUGGUCUUGAAACAACAAGCUAAUUAGAUGAGUCAUAAAAUUAGCUAAGGACAUGAGCACAUGUGGUGAGGCCCCCUCAUCCUGAGGCAUAUAAAAGGCCCUCUGCAAGGAGAAAUCCACACUGAAGUAACACUUCGCCUCUUCUUCUCUACCUGUGCACAACGUCAACAACCAACACCAUGUGUGGCAGCUACUACGGGAACUACUAUGGAGGCUGUGGCUAUGGAGGCUGCGGCUAUGGAGGCCUGGGCUGUGGCUAUGGUUCCAGCUAUGGCUGUGGCUUCCGCAGACUGGGCUAUGGCUAUGGCGGUGGCUCUGGCUGUGGCUACAGAUGUGGCUCUGGCUUUGGUUGCUACUAACUGAGAAUGCCCUAGGAGACUCACCCUCUACAACUUCACUGAAUGACUCAGCGGUUCUGAACCAUGUGAAUUUUUUGUCUCACCCACAAGAGAUGUUUAUUCUACCCUACAUUGCAAACUUCUGUAUGAUUUGGUAAAAUACCUGGAACUGAUACUACUUGAUAUCUGGAAGAAUAUGAAUUUCAACUUGUGAACUCAUGUUCCAACAAAAUGAUGUUGGUAUAGCUCUUAUUUUUGUGAUUUUAUGCUAAAUUUGCUUCUAUUUUUUUCCUAAUAAAUUUUUAAUUUCCUCAUAAAUAUGAAAGAGAAAACUUUUUAAAAUUAAUUUAUUAUGUGGAGGUUGGCUUUACUUUUUUGGGUUAUUAAUUGAGUAACAAUUACUUUUCUUUGGGAACUAAUUUUUAUCUUCUUAUCUUUGCAUACUGAUCUCAAUAUUUGUGACUACAGAAAAAAUCUGUGGCCUUUGUAAAUCUCAGUUUCUUGUCUGGUAAAGAGAGGAAAUAUUUUUUUUUUCUUAUAAUGAUUUUAGCUCUUUAUGUUUUUUGCUAUAUAAAUUUUUACAAUUUCUUAAUUGGUAUUUCAGGCCACUUCCAAUCUCAACAGCGACCUGACCUGUGGGGCAGAAGUUGACUUUCCCUUACAUGGCCAGAGAUCUAUGAGUGCUAAUAUUGUCAAUAAGUUUCAUUG
rnacentral:lncRNA from 1 species